GAUGAAGAACGUAGCGAAAUGCGAUAAGUAAUGUGAAUUGCAGAAUUCCGUGAAUCAUCGAAUCUUUGAACGCACAUUGCGCCCCUUGGUAUUCCGAGGGGCAUGCCUGUUCGAGCGUCAUUAUAACCCCUCAAGCUCAGCUUGGUGUUGGGGCCUGCUGCACUGGCAGCCCUUAAAAUCAGUGGCGGCGCCGUCUGGCUCUAAGCGUAGUAAUUCUUCUCGCUAUGGAGUCCUGGUGGAUGCUUGCCAUCAACCCCCAAUUUUUCUAUGGUUGACCUCGGAUCAGGUAGGGAUACCCGCUGAACUUAAGCAUAUCAAUAAGCGGAGGA
rnacentral:misc_RNA from 1 species